CUCUCUUCGGCCCAUUAUGAACUGGUUGAUUAAACAUUUGCAUGCUCAGUGAAAUCGCUCUACGUGAAGUCCUCGUGAGCCCUGAAAGCCUCUACGGAGUUCCAAAAGUCCCCCCAGUAUGAACUUACAUUGUGGCACUUCACCGCAGGCGGAGAUGCCAGACCUCUCGGCUCUGCCACACGUCUGGCCAGAUGCUGGGGCCGCAAAACCAACCACCCGUCCCAGCUCUCAGGGCGAACGCCCCCGCAGACCCCCCCCACGCAGGGGCGUGGCCAACACCGGAAGAGGCGGGGGCCGGAGGACCGAAGGGUCGGCGGAAGAAGCUGCGUUUUCUUUUCCGCGCGGCCACCGAAGGAUGAGGGUGUGUGAGGUCCCGUCGGGCAAGCGGGCCGGGUGGCAGCGUCCGAGGGCCAGUCGCAGGGCUCUUCGAGGUGCAGCAGAGCCUAUGAGGUGAAGAUGAAUGAAGGUCAUCCUGAUGAUUUCCAGAAACUGCUCACAGGAUGGCUGUGAUAAAACCACUAGGAGCACAACUGCAUGUAAUGAGGUACCAAAUUUAGUGUUAAUUGUGUGCUUUUUUAUGUUUAAUACAUUUUUGACGUAGGUUUAAAUUAUAACUGGCACAAUGAUGACUUAAAUUACUUUUUGCCGUUUACCCAGCUGAGGGUUUCUUUGAAGAAAUAAUUUUAAGACUGAGAUGCCAGUAACCUAUAUUGUUUAGGUGAAUUACACAAGUAUAAUGCAAUUUUUAAUUAAAAUGGGUGAACUGUUCUUUUCAGCAUAUAGGUAGCUGCAGAUGAAUAUUCAAGUCCAAAACUGUCAUGGUCAAAAUUCAUUGCCUCAGGUAAGUAAUUAUGAUUUGUCAAGUAAUCACAGCUAUUAAUAGUUCAAAAGUAUCUGAAACUCCAGUGGGCUAGCGCCAUUUCCUGUUAAAAUUGCCUGUGUAUGUCAGAAGUAUGGUUUCUUUUUGAUUCUUGACUAUGGAAUGAUUUUCACUGUUGGUUUCUGAUUUUUUUCUAGAGGCAUGCAGUUGGAAGGAAAAAUGAAGAGUUGGUCAAGAAGACAUGAAACAGAUAAUAAAAUUAAUAUUUUAUUUAAAAUUGAUCA
rnacentral:lncRNA from 1 species